CAGCCAUAUGACAUUGAAACACUGGUUCUCAUCAAAUCAUUGAAGUUAAGCAAUGAUGAGCUUGGUCUGUACCUAGAUGGGUGACUGCUCAGGAAUACCACCAGAUGC